GACAGAGGGGGCAAGCGUUGCUCGGAAUCACUGGGCGUAAAGGGCGCGUAGGCGGGAUGGCAAGUCGGUCGUGAAAUCCCUGGGCUCAACUCAGGGGGGUCGGCCGAUACUGCCAUUCUUGAGGGAUGCAGAGGAGACUGGAAUUCCCGGUGUAGCGGUGAAAUGCGUAGAUAUCUGGAGGAACACCGGUGGCGAAGGCGGCAUCCUGGACCAAUUCUGACACUGAGGAGCGAAAGCCAGGGGAGCAAACGGG
rnacentral:rRNA from 1 species